CAAAGCAGAAGCAAAACUGACUGAUUUUUUCCUAUGAUACCCUAUCUGCACGCAUAGACGGAGGAACUAAAGAGAUCGCAGUUAUCAAAAGUUAGACAGUAGGAGGAAAAAAUGAGAAGCAAAGGGUGGGGAAAUAUUUAAACCAUUUAAUCAGCUUCUCAACUAGUCACAUCGAAAUGAAAAUAUCACUAACCGAGAAAAUGGCUGAACAUCUCAUUUAAUUCUCACAACAUCCCUGCUGGUGUUACCAUCCCUGCUUUACAGAGGGACAAACUGAAGAGAGGAGAGAUUAGGCAAUUUUUCUAAAAUGAUCUCAAAUAAAAUCAAAUGCUAGUUCCCAUCAGUUGUUAAGAAUGCUGUGCAGGGUGUAGACAGCUGGCUUUCAGUACAUUUCUUCCUUUGAUUUCAAAAGUUCUCUUGUAAUAAACAAAGUGACUGCUUGGGGCAGCCUUACAAAAGCACGUUCUAUUUCACAUUGUCAUAGGCUCGGCUUCUCCAGGAUGUGUAAUGAUGCGGGAUCGGUGAGCCGAGGAGUCGAAAGAAAGAUUUCUUAGACUCUCAAGAUCUGGCAGUAGUGCUCUUUUAUUUAGAAAAUAGUGUGGAAUAGCAUGGGGACAGGACCCAUGGGCAGUCAGAGUUUCUGCUGCCGCCGCUUCUGCUGCCCCCGCUGGCAUGGGGACAGAGCCCAUGGGCAGGCAGAGCCGCUGCUGCUGCCCCCGCUGGCAUGGGGACAGGAUCCAUGGGCAGGCAGAGCUGGUGCGUGGGGACAGGACCCACGGGCAGUCAGAGCUCCUGCUGCUGCCCCGAGUUGAGGGUUAGGGCUAAAUUUAAGGCAUAGGUAUGUGAUUCAUCUCUUUACAAGACAAAGGAAAGAACAUGAAAAAAAGUUAAAAUGGUAUCAGUGCGGGUGGGGUCUGGUCAUUGGGUGAUCCCAUGACUUUUAGACAAGAAUCAAAUCGGAUUAAGUAAAGGUUAGAAAGGUUAGACACCACCACCCUAAACCAGUUACAUGAGAUUGCCAGACAGCAAGAACUUAAGUUGGUUGCUGUCUGGCAAUCUCAUGUAACUGGUUUAGGGUGGUGGUGUCUAACCUUUCUAACCUUUACUUAAUCCGAUUUGAUUCUUGUCUAAAAGUCAUGGGAUCACCCAAUGACCAGACCCCACCCGCACUGAUACCAUUUUAACUUUUUUUCAUGUUCUUUCCUUUGUCUUGUAAAGAGAUGAAUCAUAUACCUAUGCCUUAUAAAAUUAGCCCUAACCCUCAACUCGGGGCAGCAGCAGGAGCUCUGAGUGCCCGUGGGUCCUGUCCCCACGCACCAGCUCUGCCUGCCCAUGGAUCCUGUCCCCAUGCCAGCGGGGGCAGCAGCAGUGGCUCUGCCUGCCCAUGGGCUCUGUCCCCAUGCCAGCGGGGGCAGCAGAAGCGGCAGCAGCAGAAGCUCUGACUGCCCAUGGGUCCUGUCCCCAUGCUAUUCCACACUAUUUUCUAAAUAAAAGAGCACUACUGCCAGAUCUUGAGAGUCUAAGAAAUCUUUCUUUCGACUCCUCGGCUCACCGAUCCCGCAUCAAUUACCAUUGAGGGAAGCUUGGUAAAGGGUACAUAGGAUCCCUCUUUAAAAAAAAGAGCAGAUAGUGGGAACGCUACAGAAAAGAGUCAUGGUCUAAUGCUAUUGGUUUCAGAAUAAACUCCAAAUUCCAUAUGAC
ensembl:lncRNA